rnacentral:rRNA from 1 species
UACAGAGGGUGCAAGCGUUUAAUCGGAAUUACUGGGCGUAAAGCGUGCGUAGACGGUUAUGUAAGUCGGGUGUGAAAGCCCCGGGCUCAACCUGGGAAUGCCAUUCGAGACUGCAUAGCUAGGGUGCGGAAGAGGGAAGCGGAAUUUCCGGUGUAGCGGGUGAAAUGCGUAGAUAUCGGAAGGAACACCAGUGGCGGAAAGCGGCUUCCUGGUCCAGCACCGACGCAGGCACGAAAGCGUGGGGAGCAAACAGGG